rnacentral:rRNA from 1 species
AACGAACGCUGGCGGCAGGCUUCAUACAUGCAAGUCGAGAGCUCACUUCGGUGGGAGCGGCGGACGGGUUAGUAACGCGUGGAAAUGUACCCUUCUCUAAGGAAUAGCCACUGGAAACGGUGAGUAAUACCUUAUACGCCCUUCGGGGGAAAGAUUUAUCGGAGAAGGAUCAGCCCGCGUUAGAUUAGGUAGUUGGUGGGGUAAUGGCCUACCAAGCCUACGAUCUAUAGCUGGUUUGAGAGGAUGAUCAGCAACACUGGGACUGAGACACGGCCCAGACUCCUACGGGAGGCAGCAGUAGGGAAUCUUGGACAAUGGGGGAAACCCUGAUCCAGCCAUGCCGCGUGAGUGACGAAGGUCUUAGGAUCGUAAAGCUCUUUCGCCAGGGAUGAUAAUGACAGUACCUGGUAAAGAAACCCCGGCUAACUCCGUGCCAGCAGCCGCGGUAAUACGGAGGGGGUUAGCGUUGUUCGGAAUUACUGGGCGUAAAGCGCACGUAGGCGGAUUGGAAAGUUGGGGGUGAAAUCCCGGGGCUCAACCCCGGAACUGCCUCCAAAACUAUCAGUCUAGAGUUCGAGAGAGGUGAGUGGAAUUCCAAGUGUAGAGGUGAAAUUCGUAGAUAUUUGGAGGAACACCAGUGGCGAAGGCGGCUCACUGGCUCGAUACUGACGCUGAGGUGCGAAAGUGUGGGGAGCAAACAGGAUUAGAUACCCUG